GAAGGCGAAACAGAAAAACCCGACGAUACGGAGUUUUGGAUACAAACAUAGAAAACAUGGAGCUGACCCCAUUAGAGCAAGAUGAUGAUGAUGAUACAACACUAUUUGAUGCCAAUCAUCCUCGAAGAGAAGUACGUGCCUUUCAGUGAAAGAACUUAAUCUUAGAACCAGAGAAGGAGACUGCUUCAUGGGAGGAAUAAGAAGCAAGAGGGUAUGCAAGUUGGGGGGACUAAUUUAAUUUGUGUAUAUUUUGGCAUCCUUAAUUUGUUGCAAUAAAUACUGUACCAAUUUGUUGUACCUUUUUGUAUAUAGAGGAUUCUAAAUGUAAAGCAUACAGAGAGAGAGUGCACUAAAAUGAAAACCUAUUUGGAAGGGAGAUGACUUAAAACAGGGUUUUUUUUGCUUGUUACAAAUCUUGUAUGCCACAAGUGUGGUAUACACUUUUUCUACAGUAAUCUGGAAUGUUAUCAAAGUUUUUUGCUGAUAUUAAAUUGUAAGUAAACAUAGCCUCUGUGGACUCCUCAGAAUUGGUAGAACUUGGUUUUAGUUGAGGAGAUGCUUUAUCCUUUUACAAAUAAAAAGCCAAACUACUGCCUUUUGUGUUGAGACUUUUUUAAACUGAAUUAACAUGUUUUAUGUAAACUUUAAUGAACAAAUAAAAACUGUUUACAGUG